UACGGAGGGGGCGAGCGUUGUUCGGAGUGACUGGGCGUAAAGAGCACGUAGGCGGUGUUGUAAGUCAUUAGUCAAAGACUAGAGCUCAACUUUAGUAAGGCUAGUGAUACUAUAAUACUAGAGUAUCAGAGAGGAUUGCAGAAUUCCUGGUGUAGCGGUGAAAUGCGUAGAUAUCACGCAGAACCCCGAUUGCGAAGGCAGCAUGCCGGCUUCUGUCUGACGCUGAGGCAAGAAAGCGUGGGUAGCGAACAGG
rnacentral:rRNA from 1 species